AACAUGUGGGAAUUAUGGAGCUACAAUUAAAGAUGAGAUUUGGGUGGCAACACAGCCAAACCAUAUCAUUCUGAUGUUGUGUUCUUUAAGAUUGCUUAUGUUCAACAAGGAACACCAGGACUGAGCUAUCUUUGUCUCUCCCAAACCAACCAAGGCUGCAUUAACCUUUCCUGAAAAUAAAAAACAGUUCUGCUUUUACCAUUUGGGGGCCUGAGGCAAGUGUUCAAAUAGAAACCCUCCUGCCAGUCUAUUAAAUGAAGCUACUAAACUAUUAAAUGGAAUAUGUCUGCUCCUCUCACCUUCCUCUCUGCUCAACAGUAUGCCUCUUAACCGCCUGGAGGCUGGGUCUACUUUCUGCCUUUCCUGCCACAAGACCUUGUCUUGUGCCCAGAGGGCCUCAGGCACGUGCGUGUGGACACCACAUUCCCAUCCACUAGAAUGGCAAACGUUACAAAGACUGUUUAAAGUGUUGUCAAGGACGUGAAGCAAUUGAAACCCUCAGACACUGCCGGUGGGGAUGCAAAAUGGCACAGUCGCUUUGGAAAACAGUAUGGCAAUUUCUAAUGAGGUCCCACAUGCAGCUACCAUGUGAUCCAGCAAUCCCACUCCUAGGCAUGUACCCAGGAGAAACACAAACUUAUGGACACAAAAACUUGUACGUGAAUGUAUAUGGCAGCUUUCAUCAUCAUAACUGGAUACAGUUGAAACUGGAUACAGCCUAAAUGUGCCUCACCUGAGGAACAGAUGAGCAUCCUGUGGUAUAUCCACGCAAGGCAGCACCACUCACUCAGCAAUAAAAAAAGAGCAAACUACUGACCCAUGGAACAACACGAGGGCGUCUCCAAUGCUUUGUGCUAAGCAAAAGAAGCCAGAUCCCAAAGCUAUACUGUAUGCUGUUUAAUUCCAUUUAUAUGACAUUUUGGAAAUGGCGGAACUAUAGGAGAAGAGAGCGGGUUAGUGGUUAGCAGCAGUAAAGGGCAGAGGAGGGAAUAUUUUGGGUGAUAAAACUGCUCCAUCUCCACUGUGGUGGUGGGUUCAUCAGUGUGCACUUGUUAAAACACCACAAAGAAUGAAUUUUACUGUAUGUUAAUUAAAUAUACUAAAAAAUAUCAGAUUGCUCUUUGGAUAAAAUCCAAAAUCAGCUGCUUGGCUGCCCCGGGUGCUCACCAGUGACUCGGCCUGCCAGACUCACCUGCAUUUCUUUCUCUUCCUCUCCAGCCACUCCAGGCCUCAGGGCCUUUGCACAUGCUGCUUGGCCUACCUGGCUGACCUCUGCUACCCUCCAUUCUACAGUAUGGGCCCACUUCCAGCCAUUCUAUACACAACUUGGUGUUCUCAGAUCAGCACCUGCCAAGCCAGGUCAGAGCAACCUCCUAUUGCUCCCUUAGCCUCUGUGUUUCUCCUCUGUGUCCUGAUUACACAGGUGAUGAACUCUUGAAUGCUGGACUCCCUCUAGAGCCUAAGCGCCAUGAGGACAGGGAUGGCAUUUUUCUUUCCCACCACCGAACCUGGCUUCCAGGGUGCCUUGCACAAACUCCAUGCUCAGUCAAUGUUUGCCAAAGGGAUGGACUGAUGACUCCAUCACUUUAUAGAUAAAGGUCCUCCAAGGCCUGUCGACAGAGCCAGGAUGAUCCCCCCAUCUCCAGGCCCGCUUCCCAUGGGCUUUUCCUCUUGCACAGCUGCCUUUCCAAGGAAGGGGCAUGGAAUGAGAGUCCUGCCUGAUCAGAAGGGGCUACAGCCCUUAGGAGCUAGAGGAAAAAAGGAUGGAGACUUCAACCGUUUCAAGAGCUUCCCCACACAGAGCUGAGCACCAGAGUCUGGACUUCAAGAAGUUCAAACAAAGGAAUUCCAGAAGUGCAUAAUUGCAGGCUUGGACUCCACAUGAAAAAGAACAGAGGCAGGGUGGAAUUCAGAUUCACAGGAGGGAAAAUGGAGCUCCAGAGACAUUAACAGACUAUUGACAGAGCUCCUAUGGGGAAACCUUGGUGUCCACAUACCCAGCACUGUGGAAGCAUGCAGCUGUGGGUUCACACCAAUCUGCCUUUCCCUAAGCUGAGCCAGGGACCCACGUGGCUCAUUUGGCCCAGGAAGAGAAUCCAGGUGAGGCCACAGAACAAAGCAAAAUUAACCAGCCUCAAAAUUACAUCACCAACCCAGGGUUCUAGCAAUCGAGAUAAGCAAAUGACCACAUUCAGGCAAAACCCAUACCAAAUGAGUGGCAAAUCCCCACUUAACAGAUGAGGACACUGAGACUUAGGCAAAGUGACUUGCUCAGGGUCACACUGCUGGUCGGUAGCUGAGCCAGGCUGGAACCAGGUCUCCUGGGUUCACUUCAGCAUAGCCUUGUCUACCGCGGGUACCAGGAUCUGCCUGGUGUGGCUACAGCUGCUGACCACCAGCAUGGCCAACAAGCCACCCUUUGUAAUAAGCCACCCCAAAACUCAGUGGCUCCCAAUGACAAUUAGUUAUUUCUUGUGGUCAUAGGGCUUGACAGGGCUUAGCUGGGCAGCUCUCACUUUAAGCAUCUCACUGCAGUUGCAGUCCAGUGGGGCUACCUAAAGGCUUGACUGGGCUGGACGUCCAGUGUGGUGCCUCCACGUGGCUGCCAGUUGACUUUGGCUGUCACCUGAGAGCUCCACUGGGGCCAUCAUGUGACCUCUCCACGUGGCAUAGGCCUCUCACAGCAUGGUAGAUGUGCACUGAGAGGAAAUGCCACCAGAAGUCAGUGUUCUAAGAAGCAGGAAGUGGAAAUGGCCAGAUCAGGUAAGGGCUAUGCCAGGGACGGCCGGGCAUCCUCUCUGCUGCAUGCGAGUGGUUAAAACAGCCCCAGGACCAGCCCAGGGCCAGGUAAGAGGAAAUACAUUCCACCCCUUCACUGGGUGAGGGAGAAAGCCAACUUCCAAAGAACCUACGUGAUGAACAAUGAUGGACAAUAGUGUUGUGGCUGUCUCUGGGAAAAUACAAUCUACCACCAUAGCCAUGGCAACCAGACCAGGCAAUCCCUGUGACUGGACCCUUAGGAGAAAGCGUAGAGCUCCUACCAACUGUCCUAGAAAGGACAAGCCAGGCCCACGUGCCAGCCAGGCUGGGAGCAGCUGCUGUGGCGAGUGGAAAAGCCGUACUCUGGGAGCAGGAGACGCCCCUAGAGGCCUGACCCUGCCCAACGCUUGCUCUCUUGGGGCCUCAGAUCCUCGUCUGAAAUAGGGGACCAGACCACACAGAGACCCCUCUGGGGACAUUCGGUGUUUCUGCUGAGUCAAUGGACUAAUUGCUCAUGCAGACACAGCCACCAGCCCAUCACACAGUGGGUCAGCAGUAUCUUCCAAGCCACUGAUUUGAGUGGAUAUUGAAGGAGGCUGUGAAGCUCUCAGUAAAACUGACGUCCCAGUCAAAGGCCUGACCUCGAAGCCCAGGGCAUGUGUGAGUGGAGGCUCUCCACAUCUGCUGCAGAAAGGGGGAGAAGGGAGAGGUGAGUAAGGGUUGGGGGUUCUGGGGAAGCAGAUCUCAGGCCGGGCAGUUCUGGCUAACAUGCAGAGCAGGAGAGCAGUGGGGCUGCAUGUGAAGUGUUAAUGAUUUCCUCAACUGCCAUGGGGGAAGCAGAGGGGCCGGAGCCCAGGCCUCAGCAGAUAAGUGGCUUGGCGUGGUGUUAAGUCCUGUAUUUAACAGCUUGAUUAAUGGGCCGGAGGAGAGUGACUCAGCUAAUGAAAUGUGCAGGUGGCUGCUGGCGGGUCGGGGACGCUCAUGCAACAACGGACAUGGAGACCUCAAACAACAGGUAUGCAGGAAUGCCCUGCACAGACGGUACUCUCCAGUGUGAAGAUGAUAAAGCCAGCCUCUGGAUUUUGUGUGUGUGUGUGUUUUAUUUUUUAAAAAUUAUUUUACUUUUUCAUAAGUUAUUGGAAUACAGUUGGUGUUUGGUUACAUGAGUACGUUCUUUAGCAGUGAUUUGUGAGAUCUUGGUGCACCCAUCACCCGAGCAGCGUACACUGCACCAUAUGUUGUCUUUUAUCGCUUGCCCCCUUCUCACCCUUCCCCCCAAGUCCCCAAAGUCCAUUGUAUCAUUCUUAUGCCUUGUGUCCUCAUAGCUUAGCUCCCACAUAUCAAUGAGAACAUACGAUGUUUGGUUUUCUAUUCUUGAGUUACUUCCCUUAGAACAAUAGUCUCGAGUCUCAUCCUGGUCAUUUCAAAUGCUGUUAAUUCAUUCCUUUUUAUGGCUGAGUAGUAUUCCACUGUAUAUAUAUACCACAGUUUCUUUAUUCACUCGUUGAUUGAUGGCAUUUGGGGUGGUUCCACGAUUUUGCCAUUGUGAAUUGUGCUGCUGUAAACAUGCAUGUGUAUCUUUUUCAAAUAAUGACUUCUUUUCCUCUGGGUAGAUACCCGGUAGUGGGAUUGCUGGAUCAAAUGAUAGAUUUACUUUUAGUUCUUUAAGGAAUCUCCACGCUGUUUUCCAUAGCGGCUGUACUAGUGCGUUCAUUCAGGAAGGUUUUAAUGAGCACUUAGGAUGGGCUGUGCUUCCCAGGAGAU